GUCCUAUAAUCGACACCCCACGCUAUACCUUACCCCCCCUAGCCGACCAGCCUAUAUACCGCCGUCGCCAGCUCACACUGUGAAUGCACCACCGUAAGCUAAAUCAUCAACCAUUAAAACGACAGGUCAAGGUGUAGCUCAUGGGGGGGCCAGUGAUGGGCUACAUUUUCUUCACUAGAAAAUACCACCCGCACCGUGAAAUCUUUGCCCACAGGUGGAUUUAGAAGUAAGCCCUGACAAGAUAUGUUAACCUGAACAAGCCCUGGGACG
rnacentral:rRNA from 1 species